UACGGAGGGUGCAAGCAUUAAUCGGAUUUAUUGGGCGUAAAGGGCGCGUAGGCGGCAAUAUAAGUCAGAUGUGAAAUCCCGGGGCUCACCCCCGGAACAGCAUUUGAAACUGUAUUCCUUGAGGGUAGGCGGAGAAAAUGGAAUUCCACAAGUAGCGGUGAAAUGCGUAGAUAUGUGGAAGAACACCAGUGGCGAAGGCGAUUUUCUAGCUUACUCCUGACGCUGAGGCGCGAAAGCAAGGGGAUCAAACAGG
rnacentral:rRNA from 1 species